rnacentral:rRNA from 1 species
AUACGGAGGGUGCAAACGUUAAUCGGAAUUACUGGGCGUAAAGCGCGCGUAGGUGGUUUAGUAAGUCGGAUGUGAAAGCCCUGGGCUCAACCUGGGAAUUGCAUUCGAUACUGCUUGACUAGAGUAUGGUAGAGGGAAGUGGAAUUUCCGGUGUAGCGGUGAAAUGCGUAGAUAUCGGAAGGAACACCAGUGGCGAAGGCGACUUCCUGGGCCAAUACUGACGCUGAGGUGCGAAAGCGUGGGGAGCAAACAGGAGUAGAAACCCCAGUAGUCC